rnacentral:rRNA from 1 species
AGAGUUUGAUCCUGGCUCAGGAUGAACGCUGGCGGCGUGCCUAAUACAUGCAAGUCGAGCGAACAGAUGAGAAGCUUGCUUCUCUGAUGUUAGCGGCGGACGGGUGAGUAACACGUGGGUAACCUACCUAUAAGACUGGGAUAACUCCGGGAAACCGGGGCUAAUACCGGAUAAUAUUUUGAACCGCAUGGUUCAAUAGUGAAAGACGGUUUCGGCUGUCACUUAUAGAUGGACCCGCGCCGUAUUAGCUAGUUGGUAAGGUAACGGCUUACCAAGGCGACGAUACGUAGCCGACCUGAGAGGGUGAUCGGCCACACUGGAACUGAGACACGGUCCAGACUCCUACGGGAGGCAGCAGUAGGGAAUCUUCCGCAAUGGGCGAAAGCCUGACGGAGCAACGCCGCGUGAGUGAUGAAGGUCUUCGGAUCGUAAAACUCUGUUGUUAGGGAAGAACAAAUUUGUUAGUAACUGAACAAGUCUUGACGGUACCUAACCAGAAAGCCACGGCUAACUACGUGCCAGCAGCCGCGGUAAUACGUAGGUGGCAAGCGUUAUCCGGAAUUAUUGGGCGUAAAGCGCGCGUAGGCGGUUUCUUAAGUCUGAUGUGAAAGCCCGCGGCUCAACCGGGGAGGGUCAUUGGAAACUGGGGAACUUGAGUGCAGAAGAGGAGAGUGGAAUUCCACGUGUAGCGGUGAAAUGCGUAGAGAUGUGGAGGAACACCAGUGGCGAAGGCGACUCUCUGGUCUGUAACUGACGCUGAGGAGCGAAAGCGUGGGGAGCGAACAGGAUUAGAUACCCUGGUAGUCCACGCCGUAAACGAUGAGUGCUAAGUGUUAGGGGGUUUCCGCCCCUUAGUGCUGCAGCUAACGCAUUAAGCACUCCGCCUGGGGAGUACGACCGCAAGGUUGAAACUCAAAGGAAUUGACGGGGACCCGCACAAGCGGUGGAGCAUGUGGUUUAAUUCGAAGCAACGCGAAGAACCUUACCAAAUCUUGACAUCCUUUGACCGCUCUAGAGAUAGAGUCUUCCCCUUCGGGGGACAAAGUGACAGGUGGUGCAUGGUUGUCGUCAGCUCGUGUCGUGAGAUGUUGGGUUAAGUCCCGCAACGAGCGCAACCCUUAAGCUUAGUUGCCAUCAUUAAGUUGGGCACUCUAGGUUGACUGCCGGUGACAAACCGGAGGAAGGUGGGGAUGACGUCAAAUCAUCAUGCCCCUUAUGAUUUGGGCUACACACGUGCUACAAUGGAUAAUACAAAGGGCAGCGAAUCCGCGAGGCCAAGCAAAUCCCAUAAAAUUAUUCUCAGUUCGGAUUGUAGUCUGCAACUCGACUACAUGAAGCUGGAAUCGCUAGUAAUCGUAGAUCAGCAUGCUACGGUGAAUACGUUCCCGGGUCUUGUACACACCGCCCGUCUC